AGGGAUUACCUCAGUAACGGCGAGUGAAGCGGUAACAGCUCAAAUUUGAAAUCUGGGUCUUUCAGGCUCCGAGUUGUAAUUUGUAGAAGAUGCUUCGGGUGCGGCUCCGGUCUAAGUUCCUUGGAACAGGACGUCAUAGAGGGUGAGAAUCCCGUAUGUGAUCGGUUGCUUGCGCCCAUGUGAAGCUCUUUCGACGAGUCGAGUUGUUUGGGAAUGCAGCUCCAAAUGGGUGGUAUAUUUCAUCUAAAGCUAAAUAUUGGCCAGAGACCGAUAGCGCACAAGUAGAGUGAUCGAAAGAUGAAAAGCACUUUGGAAAGAGAGUUAAACAGUACGUGAAAUUGUUGAAAGGGAAGCGCUUGCAACCAGACUUGCGUGUCGUCGAUCAUCCGGGGUUCUCCCCGGUGCACUCGGCUUCACUCAGGCCAGCAUCGGUUUCGGUGGUUGGAUAAAGGCCUUGGGAAUGUAGCUCCUCUCGGGGAGUGUUAUAGCCCUCGGUGCAAUGCAGCCUACCGGGACCGAGGACCGCGCUUCGGCUAGGAUGCUGGCGUAAUGGUUGUAAGCGACCCGUCUUGAAACACGGACCAAGGAGUCUAACAUCUAUGCGAGUGUUUGGGUGUCAAACCCAUACGCGUAAUGAAAGUGAACGGAGGUGAGAACCCUUAAGGGUGCAUCAUCGACCGAUCCUGAUGUCUUCGGAUGGAUUUGAGUAAGAGCAUAGCUGUUGGGACCCGAAAGAUGGUGAACUAUGCCUGAAUAGGGUGAAGCCAGAGGAAACUCUGGUGGAGGCUCGCAGCGGUUCUGACGUGCAAAUCGAUCGUCAAAUUUGGGUAUAGGGGCGAAAGACUAAUC
rnacentral:rRNA from 1 species